AUGCUGUGUUAGUUGUUGACAGUGCCUGGU
rnacentral:piRNA from 1 species